CACAGAAGCUCUUGUUUUUUUGCGGAUUUCUCACAACAAACUCCUUCAUUUCAUACAGACAAUUACCAACAGCACUUUCUCUCUUUUUUUAUUUAUUUUUUCAUUUUUGUAUCAACCAAUCCGACACCGUUUCAUCCUUUAGCGGGGUUUAGUGAGUGUUUAUUCCUUAUUACCCAGAACAUAUUUUUUUUUUUUUUGCAUUUCACACUCAUUUUUCAUUUCCGGAAAAAUUUCUUAGGGUUUCUCUCUUCUUUCUCUUCUUCUUCUACUUUCUUUCUCGUUCAUCCUGAUACACACAUUCGCUCAAUCUUCUCUGGUUUUCGCAUUUGA